rnacentral:rRNA from 1 species
GAUGAACGCUGGCGGCGUGUUUAACACAUGCAAGUCGAGCGAGAAGUUUUGAAAAGAUUCUUCGGAUGAAAUUUAAAAUGGAAAGCGGCGGACGGGUGAGUAACGCGUAGGCAACCUGCCCCAUACAAAGGGAUAGCAUUUGGAAACGAAUAUUAAUACCUUAUGAAACUUAACUAGUGCAUGCUAGGUAGGUCAAAGAUUUAUCGGUAUGGGAUGGGCCUGCGUCUGAUUAGCUAGUUGGUGAGGUAACGGCUCACCAAGGCGACGAUCAGUAGCCGACCUGAGAGGGUGAACGGCCACAUUGGAACUGAGGCACGGUCCAAACUCCUACGGGAGGCAGCAGUGGGGUAUAUUGCACAAUGGGGGAAACUCUGAUGCAGCUACGCCGCGUGAACGAUGAAGGCCUUUGGGGCGUAAAGUUCUGUUCUAGGUGAUGAAAACUGACAGUAACCUAGGAGAAAGCCCCGGCUAACUCCGUG